GAAAUUACUCUCUAUCCAAUUAAGUUUACCUCAGUGAAGAAUGCUACUUGGAAAGAAAGCCAUUUUGUAUCAGGACAACUUUUCAUAGACUGUUUAACCUACUCUGCUGGAGCAAACCUGCUCUAUCUUUAUUUUUAGGAGGAGGAAAACCAGCAUUAUUUCACAUGACAGACUAGCAGCAACAGAAACUCUCCAUAAAAGCAACAGAUUGCCUGCUACCAAAUGGCUACAGCUUUGUCAUCUAGUCUAAUAAAUGAUGAUGCUUCGCCUUUCAAGCCCCAGUUUUGCUUCCUCAUGGGCCUCCAUAUGAACGGAGCAUGACUGAAGCCAGUUCAGAAUGGCAUGCACCUGAGUGAGAAGAAAGCAAAUCAGCAGUGGCCCAAAAAUCGUUUCCACCUUCCUGAUGGAGGAUUGUGUCCCAGGCUGGUGCUUGGUGGCAAGUAGGAGUUCCCUCAGCCCUAGUCUUAUGCUGCCCCUUCUGCUUCACUGGCCUAGCUACCACAACAGCAAAAAAGGGUAUUUUUCACCUGAAUCAGCUUCCUGCUCAGAUCCUGUCAUGGCCAUGCCCUGGAACAUAGCAAGCAAGGCAAUCCAGAAGUAGGUGAUGCCACUGCUUGUCCUCGCACAGUGCUACUGAAAGCCCCUGGCCAAUCCUAUGUAUUUGUUACUCCUCUCGUCUUGAGUUAACUGUCUCUAAGUGGCUCUGUAGACAAAUGCUUUCCAAUUCUAGACUUAUGAUAUAUCUAAAUAGCUACAACGACAAAAUUUGAAAGUGGAAGAACCGUUUUCCUGUUCCUUAGAAUGAAGAAUACAGCAAAAUGUCAACUCUUCCUGGGGCUGCCAACGCCAUCGCUUUCAUCUCCUGUGGUUCCACCGAUGAAGACUUGCUGCUCUGAAAGUCCUGCCUCCCUCACCUGUGAAAGUCACGCCACUGCCUGGCACCUUGUAGGGGAAUGCAGGUGCCUUGGGUAUGGAAACCAAGGUCUCCGCUGGAGGAAGCAGGCUUUCUUUAUCAGCACCGGGCCCUUGAACUUGGCUUGGUGUUCAAUGGCGAGCCACCGCUGA
rnacentral:lncRNA from 1 species